AGAGUUUGAUCCUGGCUCAGGAUGAACGCUAGCGGCAGGCUUAACACAUGCAAGUCGAGGGGUAUAGUUCUUCGGAACUAGAGACCGGCGCACGGGUGCGUAACGCGUAUGCAAUCUACCUUUUACAGAGGGAUAGCCCAGAGAAAUUUGGAUUAAUACCUCAUAGUAUGUGAGAAUCGCAUGGUUUUCACAUUAAAGUUCCAACGGUAAAAGAUGAGCAUGCGUCCCAUUAGCUAGAUGGUAAGGUAACGGCUUACCAUGGCGACGAUGGGUAGGGGUCCUGAGAGGGAGAUCCCCCACACUGGUACUGAGACACGGACCAGACUCCUACGGGAGGCAGCAGUGAGGAAUAUUGGACAAUGGGCGCAAGCCUGAUCCAGCCAUGCCGCGUGCAGGAUGACGGUCCUAUGGAUUGUAAACUGCUUUUGUACAGGAAGAAACACUCCCUCGUGAGGGAGCUUGACGGUACUGUAAGAAUAAGGAUCGGCUAACUCCGUGCCAGCAGCCGCGGUAAUACGGAGGAUCCAAGCGUUAUCCGGAAUCAUUGGGUUUAAAGGGUCCGUAGGCGGUUUAAUAAGUCAGUGGUGAAAGCCCAUCGCUCAACGGUGGAACGGCCAUUGAUACUGUUAAACUUGAAUUAUUAGGAAGUAACUAGAAUAUGUAGUGUAGCGGUGAAAUGCUUAGAGAUUACAUGGAAUACCAAUUGCGAAGGCAGGUUACUACUAAUGGAUUGACGCUGAUGGACGAAAGCGUGGGUAGCGAACAGGAUUAGAUACCCUGGUAGUCCACGCCGUAAACGA
rnacentral:rRNA from 1 species